GGCGCUGGGUUGUACAACAGGACGGGGUACGCGGCUAUUCCGUCCGCACCCAGUACACUUGGGCAGACGGCACAGGCCUUUCAGUCCGCUGUCACCCUGGUUCCCUUACCCGGAGCCCUGCUGUCUGCAAGUCUUUGCUAUCCUCCAACCUGCACCCCGUUCUGCUGGAGCCUCUCUCCAAGCCGGCCCUUAGCAGACCAGGAGCGAUGACAGUGUUCACCUGGGUUGCUCUGGAGGAUGGACUGCAGGCUGUGUGAGACCAGGUAGAGCACCUGGAUGGGACUUACCGGACGGAGGUUGACCCCCUCAAGGCUCUGGGCAGAAUCAUGUCCCCCAGGCUAUGCUGCAGCCCUGGAGUCUGGCUCCUGUGGAUGUGACCUUGUUUGGAAAUGGGGCCUUUACAGAGCUACAAGGAGGUGUCCUUGGGUGCAGAUGGAGACGUAGGAUCACACACCGGGACACGUGUUCUUUGUGUCUGGCUUCUUUCGUUGUGCAGAACAUCUUCCGGGUUCGUCCACGUUGGCUCACAUGUCGCCACGUCAUUCCUCUGGCUGAGUAGUAUUCCAAGGAAUACCCCUCCAAGAGCUUGUAACAUCUUUAAAAAGAAAGAAUGCAGGACCUGGCAGAAAGCUGCCACCAGCUGUGCAAAGGGCCAGAAGCUGCAGCUCCGAUGCCCGGUGACUCAAGCAGGUGGCAUCCCUCUGGGGUCAGUGUCCCCAGCAACUCUGGUAUUAGCAAAGUGGGCUGAGAACCUUUGGGGGCACUCAGGGCUCUCCCGGGCGGCGCACCGUUUUACUCACAUUUUCUGUGUUUCUGAUGUUCUGACCGCUGCACCUCCCUGCCCCUGCAGGACAGCACCCCCCAGGUAGCCUAGUCCUGGAGCAGUAAGCCACUUGCCGUUAGGAACCAGCUUUUCCAAGGCACACUGCCAGCACAGAGCCACCUGCCCCCCUCACCUGGGGCUGGCACUCAGGGCCUUGUCACCCAGACAACCAGGGAUGGCCCCUCUGGCCCAGGCUCCUGAAAUGAUUCAGACUGGCUAGCCCUAAGUCUCCAUCCCUUGGCCCCCAACACCUGCCUCUUGACCCACCCUGUCUUCCCCGUGUGACCCUGUGUGUGCCACCUCCUGUCCAGCGGCUGUAAGUGCAGCACAGACUUCUUCAUGUCUGUCCUUCCUGCACUGUGUGUGUGUCUUCCAUACCCGAUGAGAAGGAAGCCCUGUGUACUGGGCACCCGCACUCCAGGCUGACAGGGCAGCACAGUGCGGCUGGAGAUCGAGCCCUCUGAGCAGGCCCUGCCAGGCUUUAUCACCUUGAAACCUCCUGCUAGCCCUUGGGGCAGAGGCUGUCACAGAUGGAAAACUGAGGCUCAGAGAGGCCAGGCAGCUUGUUUGAGGUCACACAGCAUGCCAGCAGUGCAGCAGCAUGUGCACCCCACCAGGGAUGGACUUCAGAGCCCCUGGCCCCCAGGGCCCAGGAGACAAAUUAAAAGCACGUAAAGUGCGGUCCUAAUUGGCGAGGGCUGCAGCCUGGCAGCCUCCAGGUGCACACAGACACGGCAGCAAAACCCCAUGCCCGCCCGCACCCACCCCUCCUGCAGCCACACACCUGGCGUGGGCAGGGCCUGAGGCCGCCUGUGUGCCCUGUGGCUCUCCAGUCCGCCGAACCCCUAGCUCACCUGCCGGCCCUGCCCCAGAGGAUGGAGACGGAGGGGUGGCCUGUGUGGCAACCACUCAGUCCCCCCACUGGAGGACAUGUGGGGCCGCCCGUCCACCCUGUGGUCCCACCCCCAGCGGCCUCUGGGCCUCAGUCUGCUCCGGGAGUGAAAGCUCACUGGAGCCCUUCCCUGAGCAAAACAAUCCUU